UACAGAGGUCUCAAGCGUUGUUCGGAUUCAUUGGGCGUAAAGGGUGCGUAGGCGGCCCGGUAAGUCCGCUGUGAAAGUCCAGGGCUCAACCCUGGGAUGCCGGUGGAUACUGUCGGGCUCGAGUCCGGAAGAGGAGUGUGGAAUUCCUGGUGUAGCGGUGAAAUGCGCAGAUAUCAGGAGGAACACCAAUGGCGAAGGCAGCACUCUGGGACGUGACUGACGCUGAGACGCGAAAGCGUGGGGAGCAAACAGG
rnacentral:rRNA from 1 species